rnacentral:lncRNA from 1 species
AUGAUUGUUUUAUCACAGCUUGUUGAGAAAACUGCAGGAUGGAAAAUGUUUGCCAGAAAACACGUUAUGGGGCCACCUGGGUGGCUCCAUCGGUGGAGACACGAACUCUGGAUUUUGGCUCAGAUCCCGGCUGUGGCUCCUCCAUUGGACUCAGGAAAGUCUCAAGUUCCAAACCUUUGGUGUUCAAGAACCUCAUGGUCCAACACGGCUCACCUCACCAGAAUCCUCUCUUGCUACCUCCCCCCUUCCCAGACUUCUGCCUUGCCAGAGGAUAUACAAUCCAGAGUGCCUAUGAAUUCUCUGGAAUGCUUAUUUAAAAUACAAAGUCCUAGGCUCCAGAUUCUGAGGUAGUAGAUAAGCCUCAGGGCUCUGGAAGCUGCAUUGCAACAAGCUGGGCAACUCAUAUGGAGGGGACUUAUGGACCCCACCUGAGAAAUCCUGCUGAUCAGGUUCAACGCUAGCCUAUUUCUUAAAGCUUCAUGCUGUUUAGUCUCUAGCGUUUCCAUGCGCUGCAUUCACUACCUGGAGUACCCUUCCCAUUUUUCAUCUUCUGCCUUCCUGACUUCCAACCCUGCGUGGUUCUUUAUCCUUCCCUUCCAGGAUGCAGCUUUCAGGUGGUGUCUUCGGAGAAACCCUCACCACCCUUUCAAAGCUAAGCGGGUGAACCCCCCUUCUUUGUACACGCUAAGGAAUUUAUUACACUAUCACUGCCUGGUCACUGGUUUCUCCUGUAUAAGCGGAUGAGCUCCUUGUGGGCUUGCCUCUGAUUGGUGAAAUCUUCCAAACUUGACAUUUUCAAAAGAAUGGCAGCGCUGUACGAGGGCCAUUAAGUAAGUCCUAUCCCCUGGCAGCACAAAAUACCACAGAAAUGGCAUGGUGACCUCCUUCCAUCUUUCUGUUCAACAUAAUACCAAGAGUGAAUUUCUUUUAGCCUUAGUUAUAUAGCAUGUUGGCUUUGCUUAGGGAGAAGCAUGGAAACAUCUCCCAAUAAGUUCAGUGUUGAGCCCAGAAUUAGCUUUCUUUCUGUCUUUCAUUCAUUUGAUUUUUGAGUAAUCUCUACACCCGACAUGGGACUCAAACUCAUGGCUCCAAGAUCAAGAGUCGCAUGGUCUACCAACUGAGCCAGCCAGAGUGCCCUUCAGAAUGAACUAACUUUCAACACAACAUUUCAGGGGAGGAUAAUUAACCUCACUGAAGUGGAUGAUGAGUGUUUUUGUAAAUAUAUUUUAAAAAUUGCAGUCUUAUUUUUAAUAAGACCCAUGGUAGUAAAUCUCUAUGAAAAGCAGAUCUGAAAUUGUGUAGGGUUUUUGUGUUCAUUUGCAGGUUUCCAUUGGAAGAGGGGAACAUUUCU